rnacentral:rRNA from 1 species
UAGAUACCCUGGUAGUCCACGCCCUAAACGAUGAAUACUCGCUGUUGGCGAUACACAGUCAGCGGCUAAGCGAAAGCGUUAAGUAUUCCACCUGGGGAGUACGCCCGCAAGGGUGAAACUCAAAGGAAUUGACGGGGGCCCGCACAAGCGGAGGAGCAUGUGGUUUAAUUCGAUGAUACGCGAGGAACCUUACCCGGGCUUGAAAGUUAGUGAAUGUACCAGAGAUGGUACAGUGAGCAAUCACACGAAA